rnacentral:tRNA from 1 species
GCUUUUUUAGUUUAAUUAAAAAUAUGGUUUUUGUAAUACCAAGAUAUUAUUAUCAAUACUAAGCU